UAGGGAAUCUUCCGCAAUGGACGAAAGUCUGACGGAGCAACGCCGCGUGAGUGAAGAAGGAUUUCGGUUCGUAAAACUCUGUUGUUAGGGAAGAAAAAAUGUAUAGUAACUAUAUACAAAAGAGACGGUACCUAACCAGAAAGCCACGGCUAACUACGUGCCAGCAGCCGCGGUAAUACGCAGGUGGCAAGCGUUGUCCGGAAUUAUUGGGCGUAAAGCGCGCGCAGGUGGUUUAGAAAGUCUGAUGUGAAAGCCAACGGCUCAACCGUGGAGGGUCAUUGGAAACUAAUAAACUUGAGUGCAGGAGAGAAAAGUGGAAUUCCUAGUGUAGCGGUGAAAUGCGUAGAGAUUAGGAGGAACACCGGUGGCGAAAGCGGCUUUUUGGCCUGCAACUGACACUGAGGCGCGAAAGCGUGGGGAGCAAACAGG
rnacentral:rRNA from 1 species